GCAGUCAGAGGCGAUGAAGGACGUGCUAAUCUGCGAAAAGCGUCGGUAAGGUGAUAUGAACCGUUAUAACCGGCGAUGUCCGAAUGGGGAAACCCAGUGCAAUUCGUUGCACUAUCGUUAACUGAAUACAUAGGUUAACGAGGCGAACCGGGGGAACUGAAACAUCUAAGUACCCCGAGGAAAAGAAAUCAACCGAGAUUCCCCCAGU
rnacentral:rRNA from 1 species